rnacentral:rRNA from 1 species
UACAGGGGGGGCAAGCGUUGUUCGGAAUUACUGGGCGUAAAGGGCCAGUAGGCGGCCAACUAAGUCACACGUGAAAUCCCCAGGCUUAACCUGGGAAGUGCGCGGAAAACUGGCGAGCUUGAGUGCCGGAGAGGGUCGCGGAAUUCCCGGUGUAGAGGUGAAAUUCGUAGAUAUCGGGAGGAACACCAGUGGCGAAGGCGGCGACCUGGACGGACACUGACGCUGAGACGCGAAAGCGUGGGGAGCAAACAGG